GUAGCACCUGACUCACCUUAAUUAUGGGUCCGCGACACGUCGGGGCGCGCCGCCGGGGACGCUGCAGAUGGCCCGGAAGCACCAGCUCCGGGGGCGACCGGACAUCCCGGCCUGCCAGGUGCGCCUUCACCUCCCACCAGCACUUACCCUCUCUGGAGCUCCCCCCCAGGGCCCCCUUCUUCCGCCUCGGAGCCGUUGGCUGCCAAGGGGCGCCCACAGCCUGCCAGGGCCGCGUGUCCUGGGCCUGGGCUCCCAGCUGUGUGUGUGGGGGGGCGGGGGGGUUAGGGUGGGAGCAUCGGGAACCGGGAACUGGUCGGGGUCGAGCCGGACUCUCGGCCUGGGCGGGGAUGCCCCGCGGAGCCCCGCCCUUGCGCUCUGCGAGGCCGCCCACGCCUCCUCCGACUCGAGUGUAUAUUUAGCCUCUUUAUCAAGUGUUUGCAGUGAACCGUGUGAACCGCCUAAUAGCGGCUGGAAGUGAAACUCGAUUCCUGGGCAGAAAGGAGCACGUGACCGCACCUGAGCAGCCAGGAUCGCAGGACAGGCGGGCUGGGCAGGUCCCCUCUGCCUGUGAGGAACUGGACGCUCAAGCCGGUGUGAUGCGGUCAGCUCUCAGGAAAUCUCUGGGCUCCGCCAGGGGAACAGCCUGAGUCCAAGCAGUGUGCUCUUCGCCUUCUGGAAACCAUUCAGCGGACUCCCUCCAGUGCAGUGGGAGGUCUACUUAGGUGGACAAGGACAGUACCAAGGCUUCCCGAGCUCUGCCUCACCCUCCUUUCUAAGCCCCGAGUGCGUGCUUUGGGGGGGAGGCUGCAGGUGAGGCUAGCAGCGGAGAGGGGCAGGUGCGCUGGGGGACUGAGUGCUGGGAGAC
ensembl:lncRNA